rnacentral:lncRNA from 10 species
AGUUGAGCAAGGGAAGUAACUAACGGCUGAGUCAGAAGUGUGCCUGAUGUUUCUGUGAAGAGAAGGAAGCCAGUGUGAUUGGAGUAGCAGAAGAGACUAGAAGAUGGGGAUGAAGAAGGAAUCGGGUGAGAGCAAAGGAAGGCCGUGAAGCCAUUGUCAGAAAUUUGUCCUUUAUCCUGACUGAGCAGAAGAAACACUGAAGGAUUUUGAGCAGAGGCAUGUCUUGAUUUCAUUUCAUUUUUAGAGGUAUAGAUAAUUCAGGCUGCUAUUUUGAGACUCGACUGAGAAGAGGUGUGUACUGGCACCCGUUUCCUACAGAUGUGUCCCUCCACUCUUUGAAGCCGAGGGCAAAAUCAUGCUGAAGACCUAGAAAUCCCACCAGUCUGAAGACCAGCUGCAACCACAAUGGGUUAGCCCUUUUCAGGAUGCCUCCUCUUCAGCAUAAAGCAGCCAGAAAGAUUGAUGACCAGCUUCCCCAGGAUUGAGGAACUGAUAAGUGGAAAGAGGGGACUGAAACCACCCCAAUUGUCCCGUAGAAUUGAUGUUUAUGAUCUUUUGGAAUAAACAUAGAUAUUGACCCUCAUGGUCUUAAAGAU